rnacentral:rRNA from 1 species
GUAGGGUGCGAGCGUUAAUCGGAAUUACUGGGCGUAAAGCGUGCGCAGGCGGUAAGUUAAGUCUGAUGUGAAAGCCCCGGGCUCAACCUGGGAAUGGCAUUGGAAACUGGCUUGCUGGAGUGUGGCAGAGGGGGGUGGAAUUCCGCGUGUAGCAGUGAAAUGCGUAGAGAUGCGGAGGAACACCGAUGGCGAAGGCAGCCCCCUGGGCCAACACUGACGCUCAGGCACGAAAGCGUGGGGAGCAAACAGGAUUAGAUACCCUGGUAGUCCACGCCCUAAACGAUGUCAACUGGGUGUUGGGGAAGCGAUUCCUUGGUACCGUAGCUAACGCGUGAAGUUGACCGCCUGGGGAGUACGGYCGCAAGGUUA